rnacentral:rRNA from 1 species
UUGGAGGGCAAGUCUGGUGCCAGCAGCCGCGGUAAUUCCAGCUCCAAUAGCGUAUAUUAAAGUUGUUGCAGUUAAAAAGCUCGUAGUUGAAUUUCGGGGUCAGUAGGUUGGUCAUGCCACUGGUAUGUACUGGUCUCACUGAUUCCUCCUCCUGAUGAGCCGUAAUGCCAUUAAUUUGGUGUUGCGAGGAAUCUGGACUGUUACUUUGAAAAAAUUAGAGUGUUUAAAGCAGGCUAACGCUUGAAUACAUUAGCAUGGAAUAAUGAAAUAGGACGUUCGAUCUUAUUUUGUUGGUUUCUAAGAUUGACGUAAUGAUUAAUAGGGAUAGUUGGGGGCAUUAGUAUUCAAUUGUCAGAGGUGAAAUUCUUGGAUUUAUUGAAGACUAACUACUGCGAAAGCAUUUGCCAAGGAUGUUUUCAUUAAUCAAGAACGAAAGUUAGGGGAUCGAAGACGAUCAGAUACCGUCGUAGUCUUAACCAUAAACUAUGCCGACUAGGGAUCGGAUGAUGUUAAUUUUUUAAUGACUCAUUCGGCGCCUUACGGGAAAC